GAUUAAUGCUAGCGGCGUGCCUUAUGCAUGCAAGUCGAACGGUUUUGAUUUAUCAAGAUAGUGGCAAACGGGUGAGUAACACGUAAGCAACCUGCCCUUAAGUAAGGAAUAAUCCUUCGAAAGAGGGACUAAUACCAUAUGUGGUGCCCCUUCGCCUGGAGGGUCACAAAAGCCGUAAGGCGCUUUUGGAGGGGCUUGCGUCCGAUUAGCUAGUUGGUGGGGUAACGGCCUACCAAGGCGAUGAUCGGUUGCUGGUUUGAGAGAAUGACCAGCCACACUGGGACUGAGACACGGCCCAGACUCCUACGGGAGGCAGCAGCAAGGAAUAUUGCGCAAUGGGCGAAAGCCUGACGCAGCGACGCCGCGUGAGGGAAGAAGGCCUUCGGGUCGUAAACCUCUUUUCUUAGGGAAGAAUAAUGACGGUACCUAGGGAAUAAGUCACGGCUAACUACGUGCCAGCCGCCGCGGUAAUAC
rnacentral:rRNA from 1 species